rnacentral:lncRNA from 1 species
CUUCAGUUCUACUUUUGUCUUGUUUCAAAGAACUGCUCAAUUACUUAUCCGAAGCACAUGGGUUACCUUACAAUUUGCGUGCUGUUGUUUUAAAAAUAUUUUGUUUAUUAUUGUAUUAAGGGGGCUCCUGGGUAUAAAUGAUUUUUUUUUUUCUAAUAUAGGAUUUCGCUAUAUUUUUUCAUAAAUGAACUUUAUCAUAUACUUAAAAGAAAAAUGAAAUAAAAAAAUGGGGUCACCGUUCAUUUAAGCUAAAAUCUGCCUCUGGAAGAAGCAUACAUUUUUGUUAAUGUCCUUUUUUUCUGUUGAACUAAUAGGAGAAAAAGAGGAAAUAUCGAAAUAAAAAAAUAACCUAAUA